rnacentral:rRNA from 1 species
UACGAAGGGGGCUAGCGUUGCUCGGAAUCACUGGCGUAAAGCGCACGUAGGCGGAUUGCUAAGUCAGGGGUGAAAUCCUGGAGCUCCAACUCCAGAACUGCCCUUGAUACUGGCGGUCUCGAGUCCGGGAGAGGUGAGUGGAACUGCGAGUGUAGAGGUGAAAUCGUAGAUAUCGCAAGAACACCAGUGGCGAAGGCGGCUC